rnacentral:lncRNA from 1 species
GAAAUAUUGAUUGAAAAAAGUGUACGCACUUGUCGACCAUUCGUAUAUACGCCUGGAUAAUAAGUUACGGAACUAUAGCGCAAAUUCAAAUAUAUACAUGUAUACAUUGUACAUAAGAAAGAAACAUACAUUUUGUGUAAAUUGGGGUAAAAGUUUUUUUAAUAGACUAGUCCACGUAUGCCAACAGUAUGUAAUCAUCAAAUGUCGAAAGACUAUUGUAUACCAAAAGAAGAAGAAGAAGAA